AAGUCUUGGGAUAUUUGGGGUUAAACAUCCUUGAGUUUGAAUAGUAUUGGGCUGGGUGACCUCCUGGGAAGUUUAAAUUCAAGAGCUU
rnacentral:rRNA from 1 species